rnacentral:misc_RNA from 1 species
CAUCAUCAGAAUGUCCUCUCAAGACUCCCAACCAUUCCACUGGCACUUCAGUGCGGACCUAAACGAUAAUGAUUUCGUAAUCCAUGGCCAAACUCUCUUCCUCAUCAUCAUCAUCCUCUUCUCAUUACUAGUCCUCAUCACCACCCUNCUACGCUCGCUGGGUUUGUAGAUACCGACAACAACACUUCCGCAAUAACCCACCACCCCACGCGCCACCUCUUCGGUCCCAGGGCCUCCACCCCACUAUAAUUAAGUCGUUACCGGUAACUUUGCACCAGUCAUCAUCGUCAUCUUUAUGUGGGGGCAACCGCGGCAAUAGUAACGUUGUAGUGGAAGCUGAGUGCUGUAUAUGUCUAGGAGUAUUUGAAGAUGGUGAUAAGGUUAAGGUUUUGCCUGAGUG